rnacentral:rRNA from 1 species
CAUGCAAGUCGAACGAGCGAGAGAGAGCUUGCUUUCUCGAGCGAGUGGCGAACGGGUGAGUAACGCGUGAGGAACCUGCCUCAAAGAGGGGGACAACAGUUGGAAACGACUGCUAAUACCGCAUAAGCCCACAGCUCGGCAUCGAGCAGAGGGAAAAGGAGUGAUCCGCUUUGAGAUGGCCUCGCGUCCGAUUAGCUAGUUGGUGAGGUAACGGCCCACCAAGGCGACGAUCGGUAGCCGGACUGAGAGGUUGAACGGCCACAUUGGGACUGAGACACGGCCCAGACUCCUACGGGAGGCAGCAGUGGGGAAUAUUGCACAAUGGGGGAAACCCUGAUGCAGCGACGCCGCGUGGAGGAAGAAGGUCUUCGGAUUGUAAACUCCUGUUGUUGAGGAAGAUAAUGACGGUACUCAACAAGGAAGUGACGGCUAACUACGUGCCAGCAGCCGCGGUAAAACGUAGGUCACAAGCGUUGUCCGGAAUUACUGGGUGUAAAGGGAGCGCAGGCGGGAAGACAAGUUGGAAGUGAAAUCCAUGGGCUCAACCCAUGAACUGCUUUCAAAACUGUUUUUCUUGAGUAGUGCAGAGGUAGGCGGAAUUCCCGGUGUAGCGGUGGAAUGCGUAGAUAUCGGGAGGAACACCAGUGGCGAAGGCGGCCUACUGGGCACCAACUGACGCUGAGGCUCGAAAGUGUGGGUAGCAAACAGGAUUAGAUACCCUGGUAGUCCACACUGUAAACGAUGAUUACUAGGUGUUGGAGGAUUGACCCCUUCAGUGCCGCAGUUAACACAAUAAGUAAUCCACCUGGGGAGUACGACCGCAAGGUUGAAACUCAAAGGAAUUGACGGGGG